UUAAGCUUCUAACUUGAGUGAGGGGAUGAGCGUCUCCAUUCUAUUGUGAU
rnacentral:tRNA from 1 species